rnacentral:rRNA from 1 species
AUUGAACGCUGGCGGAAUGCUUUACACAUGCAAGUCGAGCGGCAGCGCGGCCUUCGGGCUGGCGGCGAGCGGCGAACGGGUGAGUAAUGCAUCGGAACAUGCCCAGUCGUGGGGGAUAACACUUCGAAAGAAGUGCUAAUACCGCAUACGUCCUGAGUGGGAAAGCGGGGGAUCGCAAGACCUCGCGCGAUUGGAGUGGCCGAUGUCAGAUUAGCUAGUUGGUGGGGUAAAGGCCUACCAAGGCGACGAUCUGUAGCUGGUCUGAGAGGAUGAUCAGCCACACUGGGACUGAGACACGGCCCAGACUCCUACGGGAGGCAGCAGUGGGGAAUUUUGGACAAUGGGGGCAACCCUGAUCCAGCCAUUCCGCGUGAGUGAAGAAGGCCUUCGGGUUGUAAAGCUCUUUCGGCAGGAACGAAACGGUGGGCUCUAACAUAGUCCGCUAAUGACGGUACCUGAAGAAGAAGCACCGGCUAACUACGUG